rnacentral:lncRNA from 1 species
CUCUGCUCCUGCGGCACAAUGUGAUCCACCGACAAGGAGGGACCCCUUUAAGGCGUCGGAUAAGAUAAGUCUUAUAACAUAUAUAGAUUUAUGAUAAUUAAGACUGAGCUAACAGAUGAGAAGUCCUAGUCAUUGGCCAAGCAGCUUUGAACCUAAUACAAGUUUCUGUGUAUUCAUUUGGGCUGGCGGAUGGCGUAAAGCACACACGUGUCGGUGGGGCUCAGGCAGCUUUUGGCAGAAAGAUUUAUCGUAACAUUUCUUAACUUAUUAAAAUAUAUUAUUUGAUGCCUUUUAAUUAUUGUUUUUAGACAAGUUCUCAUUAUGCAGGCAGGCUGGCCUGCAACCCAGGAACCUUCUGCUUUAGUCUCCCUAGUGUGAGAGAUACAGAUGUGAAGCAACACACCAGGUUGGAGGAAGUGUGCCAUUGGGAGUGGGCUUUGAGGUUUCAAAAGCCUGCACAAAGCCCAGGCUCAGUCUCUCUCUCUCUCUCUCUCUCUCUCUCUCUCUCUCUCUCUCUCUCUCUCUCUCUCGCAGAUAUAUUCCUCCACUAUAUUUGGUAAGACAGAGUUCCUUACUGAGCUUAGAGAUUAUUGCUUUGGUUAAACUGGCUGACCAGUGAGAACUGGGGAUCUUGUUGUCCCAGUGCUGGAAUUACAUGUGUUCACUGCUGUGCCUGGCUUUUACAUGACUGUUGAGGAUCUAAAGUCAUGUCCUCAUGCUUGUGCAAUACAUACUUUACCAACAGAGCCAUCUCUCCAGCCCAACUUUUUUGAAUGCAUAAAAAUUCUAUGCAUUUUCGUGUAUUUUUUAAGGUUAGUUUAGAGAUCUUUACAAUUCUAUUGUUAUAUUGUCUGACAUUUUAUUUUCUGUUGUUUCUUGCUAGUAUGAACUGUUUCUCCCAAAGUAGAAGGAAUAGGAUAGUCAGUAAACCUUUGCCAUUCUAUCACUUCAUGGCAAAGACAUAGCUUUUAUGAUAUAAGUGGGCAGUGUCUAAGGUGUGGUCUUAGCAAAACUGAAAUAAACCUGUGUUGUGUGAUAUUUUGUUUGUGUUCUGACAAAUAAAGCUUGCCUGGAAUCAGAGGGCAGAGCUAGCCACUAGUUAACCAUAGAGGUCUGGAGGGCUGUACGGAGAGGAAAUGGGAAGUGAUAAGGUCAGGCAGAGAGAGAAUGUAGGCCCUUUUGGGUGGAGAAAUGGAAGAGGUAGAAAGCAACUGUGGCUUCUCUUCUGCCUCUCUGAUCUUUCAGGUUUUAACCCCAAUCUCUGACUCCUAGUUUUCAUUGGUAAGACUACUUGGAUUAACACUUCAAAGCUGACAGCUUAUAUGGGAACCUCAAAUUACACAUUUAGUGAAAGUUUCCAACCAACUGAGCUCUGUGUCUCUGGAGGUCAACUGCUGAUGUAUCACAAGGAUUUAGAGUUCUUGAACUAGGAUGACCUUAAGAGUCAUCUAGUUCACCUUCUGGGUGCUUUUUUUUUUUUUUAUCUUUUCUGUGGUUUGUUAGUUUUGUGUCUGGCUAACAGUUGUGUGACUUUCUCAGAGAUGUGACAUCCACCACUUUGCAGAAGCAGUAACACUUCUCCAUUGUAUCUCUUUAUUAUGCCCUGACUAUAUAUACAUCAGAAUAGUGGUUCUUAACUUUAUACUGCAAUGAUUUCUUUUGUAUCUGCUGUACUUAUAGAGCUAUAAGUGUCUUUGGGGAAGCAGCCAUGACUUAAUGCAUUUAUUUAUUUAUUUAUUUAUUUAUUUAUUUAUUUCAAUUCUCACAGUCUAGCAGGUUCUUGGUACCUAGUAGGCACCAAAGGACAACAAAUAAAUAAGUCUUAUAUAGAAUGCUUCUCAUGAACCUUUUCUGUUUCUUCUGGAGCCUGAAUCUCUUGGAUCCCCAGCUGACUGUCCAUCUCAGCUCCUACCUUUCUGAGACACUACUCAUGGACAUCACUCUGAGAGAGACCCAGAGAGGCCUUGUAUGAAGUUGUGAAGGUGAAGCCUGGAUUUCAAUGGGGACCCCAAGAAGUUGGAGAUGCCAGAAUUUUUGGAUACCUUCCAAGGAAAGCUGCUAACAAGAAGUGGAGGAGGGGUUGCAGUAACAAAGAUGAAAAGAAUAUGAGAUCUGAAGAGCAAUUUGACAUCAGACAUGGAGAUGUGGAGUUUGGAGUUCACCCAGCAUGGCUGACACUAUCAGAAAGUAUGGCAAAUUAGCCUAUCAUGAUCCACCCAAGACAUUGUACUACGACUACUGAGUCCAAUCAGUACCUCAUAUGUGGGAGAUAGUAAAUAACAUUUGACUAUAUAAUACAGUCAGGGUAACUGAACAAAGACAAAGAGAUCUUCAGGGUAAACCUGUAUCCAACCUGAGAAGCAGGACCAUGUAACUGAGAAACCUAAGAUAUCCAAUGAGACAAGGCUCACACACAGAAUAGUGAGGGGAAAUAGAAUCUGAGUUAUAAGCGUGGCUGAGGCAGGACCAUAGCCUGGGAUACACAUGAGAACACUAUCCAGGGAGAAGUGAAAGAACGGUUUUGCCUUCUGACCUCUGCAAUAACUCUAUUACGAUUCUUGCUGUGCGGCCAUCCACAGGCUUACAUUUAUCUUUCAGACUUUUCUAGCAAAGAAUUAUCUUGCCUAGGAGGGAAGACAGAAGAUAAACAGUCAUGUCACUUGCAACCUGAGGAAGAAAUGUUAGCAACUGAGGGCUCUGUGCAGCUCAAUCGAUAUCACUGGGCAGUGUCCAUUGAUGGGUUUUCAUCUAGCCAUUUCUCAGAGCCAAAGCACUUCCCAAGGAGAGGCAGUUAAGACAUCUUGUUUGUUCUCCCCUCCAUUGCCAAUACCAUGUUUUCCUCAUUUCCUAAAUGAAUCACAGAUGGUCCCUGACUUACAGUGGUUCAUCUUAUAAUGUUGUGACUUUACAAAGGUGCAAAAGCUCUAUGUGCUCAGCAGAAGCUGAACUUUGAAUUUUGAUCUCUUCCUGGGCUGGUGGCAUGAUGCUCUCAUGAGAUGCUGGGCAGCAGUACUGAGCUGUCGCUCCGGUUAGCCAUGAGAUCACGAGAGCAAACAACUGCUACUCUGCGGUGUUGUGCGUUGCUAAGCUGUGCUGUUUGCUAGGUUAGUCGCAUUAAUAACCCCCCCCAACUUACGAUAUUUUCAAUGUACAACAGAGUAAGUGGGACAUCUGUGGUGUCAUAAUCCUGGCUCACUUCUCUACCCAUCCUUCUUCCUCCCUCCCCGCCUCCCUCGCACUCUUUACAUUGUUGAUGGAGCUGCUCUCAUUGACACAUCUCAGUGUGGAAAGUUACAUCAAUGCCCCCCAUGUCUUAUCCCUCUUGCCCCUUUGGAAAGCUUAGAUUUUAUGAUUUCUUCUAAAAGGGUGGAGGAAAAUAUUCUUCACCUGUUGGUUUUGAGUUUGACCAUGUGACUGGUGUCAGCCAAUAAAGAGGAGUGAAAGCGAUGAUGAGCCAGUUCCAAGCCCUGGGGUUUAAGAAGCUUGUGGCAUUUCCUCUUGCUUGUUUAUUCUUACUUAUCUUUGCUCAGCUGUUAUUCCCACCAUGAAGAAACCCUGCUUAAUGGAUCAGUUGCCCAUUUCCACCUCUGCUUUCUGAUUCCAUAACAUUUUGUUUUCAUUUGGUGUAGCCCCCAAUAUUAUUUUAGAAUCAGUUGUCGUGGCCCUGACUAGUCAGAUACCCAAAUCUGUUUUCACCCCUCUUUCUUUGUGUGACAAAUCCUGAUUUGCCUGGCAGUGUUUGCCAGGGAGCCCCACAUACCUUCCUGUGAGUACCUGAGGGUCUGAUGAAUGCAGAAGAUGCAACUCUGAUGAAUGUAGUUGUUUUUUAUUUCUGUACAACCCCCAUAUAAGGACCAGGAAUUUAGUCUCACUUGCUUUUGUACCUUCACUACUUGGCAGAGUGGCAGGCACACAAUAGCUCUUGGUACAGGCUUGCUGAAUUGAGUUGAAGCACCCACAUUGUAUGGAAGCUAGAGGUUUGAGGAUGUAUGUUUGGGUUCUAUCCUUCACCAGAGAUCCUAGAACACCUACAAAUCUAUCUGUUCCCCAAACUGUCUACUAAUUACUUCUUCGUCUCAUAGCAUACCCUACUGUAUUCUACAGGGAAUUGAAAAGAAUACAGCCAAUACAUGAACUCAAGGACAAUGCUCUACUGUUUAUUAAGAACUUGAAGCCACAGUGAAUAAAUUCCUUUACGAAUUAAUGAGCAGACACAUUGUUAGUACCAGUAUGAGGCCAAGAUGGUUAGAGGGAUAACUCACCUUCCCUGCCACAAUAGCCAGCCAAAAACUCUUUCUAAACAAACCCAGAGAAUGUCAAAGUAACACAUCAGGAUUCGGUCCCUCUAUCCUCACACUGGGACCAAGGAAGAGGGGAAAGUGGUCUCUCCGGGCUAUCCUGGAGCUGCGUUCCCAGCCACCAAACUAAUCCUGGGGACAGUGUGCCCAAGCAAAGAAGGUUAAUGAGUUGACGUUCCUGCAUACCACCUCACUCUCCAGCUUUAUUCAUUUUGCUCUUCUGUUGUUUUCCUUCGGUGAUGGCCAGAUUCUUCUUCUCUUAUGCAAAAUAAAAGAAAUCCCACCCCUUGGCAUUUUUCUGAAAACCUUCCAGUCACCUGCCUGUCAUUCCGUUUAUUUUUCUCCUCUCCCAGAGCCUCAUAUUGGCUUUGGUUUCAUUACUCUACUAAAACUACUAAUCAGGGUGAGGUUUCCCUCUUGCCAGGCCCCCAGCUCAGCUCCAUCCUCCUCAGCCUUUAUACACACACCCUUGGCUACUUGGAGGAAUACAAGGCCUGUAUAAAGCCACCUCUCAGUCAGGCCACAUCACACACUGAGCUUCUCUUCCCACUGACAGCUGCUGGUGGGGCAGCUGUUUCCUUUUCUACUGCACCGAGAGUAUGUUGAGACAUGGGCAUAGAGUGUUGUAGUAGCUGGUCUCCCCAUAGAAAAGAGAACCUAGCAUGAGUGAAAGUUCACACAUAAUGCUGAAUAUGACCUUUUUGUUACUCUUAGUAUUGAUCAAUAUAAUUUUUUUCCUGAUCAAAUUUGACUUAUGUCUGAGUUUCUUCCAAUUCUGUUCUCAUGCCAUCUUUUCUGGCCAAAGGCAAGCCCCUUCAGUGAACUACCUCUGUGUAGAAGGUUGCAUUUGUGCCCCCAGUAUUUCAUACCUCCCAUUCCUUGGACAGCUUAGACUUUGUAGUUCCUACCAAAAGCUGGGAGGAAAACAGUUCUGAUUCGCUGGUUUGGGGUUUGCCCACAUGGCUGGUUUCAGUUCUGUGGAUGAAUGAUGCCCCAGGGUAGGCUGCACAACAACUUCCCCAAACACCGGUGACCUAAUCUGUCAAACCGUCGACUUGUUAAUUAUAUGGUAGAGGAGCUCUACCAAUGAGAUUAAACUAAAGUGACAUUUUUGUGAUUGCUGUGUUUUCAGAGUGGUCCUAAAUGCAAUUUCAAGUGUCAUUAGAAGAAAUAGAUGGAGGGAGAUUUGCCUAUAGAAGAGCCCUGACUGGUCAGAGAAGCAGAGACUGGGGGAUCUGGUAGCCUCAUUAUUAUAUUCUCCAUUUAUCUGAGAUCAAGUCUGCAGCCUUCACAGCUGUAAAAAUAUCUGAUUUACAUCUGCUUGAGACUGAAGCUUGAAGUGAAAAGUACUGGGCAAUUAUUUCCCACUUUGAAGAGAACAUAUCUCUUGUGAGAGAAGGAAGACAGUUAGUCCAAGCCUUACUUCUAUUUCUCUAAAGAACAUCAUCCAUUUAAAUGUCCUGUAAGAAUACCCUAUACUGUAAGGGAAGGCAGUAGAGACUUGAAUUCCUGUUCCCCAAGGUAGGCAACUUGGGGACUCUCCACCUCACAGGGGAGCCUAAAAGGUGAAGAGAACAUCAAUAAGCUGGGUGAUGCCCACAAGAGCGUAUGACAGGACAAGACGAUUGGUUACCUGCCUGGCAUUCAGGGAUGCUUACUGCGUAAGAUGGUCACAUUCCUGUGUCAAUGCUGCAUUGUGUCCCCUUCUAUCACCAAUUGUGGCCCACUAACAACUGCUGAGACAAGAGAUCUGGGGAAGCCUGAAGCAGGGUCAGCAAAGCUGCUGACUGAACUCUGGUGGCCAAAUACUUUAUUCAGCUUGAUGAGGAUAAGAACUGGGACUCCGCUGGAUUGUUAUAGGCUGAAGCUUUGACUGGAGAAAUGAUAGCCACCCUACCCUCAAAUGACUACCCCGAAGAACUUAACUGGACAACGAAAUGGUAAAUAUCUAGUACAAUACCUGUGCCAGUCCUGAUCGGUCCUUUCCCUUCAGAGCAGCAUGGAGAACAUUGCUACAAAAAGGAAGGAAGAACCAAGCUGAACUCCAGCCAGGCCCCUUGUGUGUCCACUCUAGAGGCUGAGCCUGCUGGCCCAAAGAAACUUGUCUGCUUCCCAGCGUGUUUGAUGGAGCACAUCCGGUUUAAAUUGUCAAUUGUCAGCACAUCCCAGAGCUAGGAAAUAUCAGAGGGAAUUACUGACUGUUUUAUUGAUUUAAUCAGAUACUUUUACACAAAUUAUAGUCCACAAAAUUAUGGGCUCCCUGUAGUCUUGAACAAGGCAGAGCUUCAGUGUAGCUUAAAGUGGAAAGUACCAUCAUCGCUGCAGGUAGGAUCCAGAGGAGCAGAGAUGAACUAAGACAAACGCAGGAAAAGCAGAGGGAGGGAUUUGUUCAGAAGAUGUUUUCCUAGUGCUAGAGAGUGAGCCAGGAGAUGCUCUACCUUUGAGCUAUGCUCAACACCCCUAGAAACAAUUUCUAAGUCAAACGUGUAAGGAGAAGGGAAGGCAAGAGAGGACGUGUGGCAGGAACACUUUGGAUAAUAUUAUCUUCGAGCAAUAAGAAGCCUUUCAAUUUUUUUGAGCAAGAAAAUGAGAUAUUUGGCGCUUUGCUUCAGGAAGAUAACACUGACAAGAAGGUGAGAAUGGAUUACUUUGGGAGGGGACAAGAGAAUGCUUGUGGGUUUUACUGCUUUCACCUGGAAAAGAGGUGAUAAAACUUGUGCUUGGGCACUGAGAGCGAGAACAAUGGCAGACACAUUGUGGCACUCAGUCUGCAGGACUGUUGACUGACUAGGAGAAGGGAGAGGAAGAGUGAAGGCUGGAUGAGUCAGGCCUUCAGUGUGAAGAAAGUGUGUGUUUGCUAAUUUAACACACAGGGUAGAAGCAUGUCUAUCAUUACCAACAUGUUCCUUAUGCAGAUGUGUGUGUGUAUAUUCAGCUUUAUGUAAUGUGAAAUAGUACGCAUCAGUAACAAAAUAUGCACACAUAUAUUCAUACCAUACAAAGACAGGCACACACGUAUGCAUAUAUACAUACAUACACACAGAGACAGAUAGCCAUACACACAUAUAAAAACACACAUACACAGAGAUAUAAGGCUAGACACAUUUACACACAUACAGCUAUACAUAUACGUCAGUACACACACACACACACACACACACACACACACACCCCUAUACACAUCACACUAAAUUGACUCUAACUGUAUAUGAAAUGGGGCACUUUAAAGUGAGGGUGUGAGGCUUUCUAACCUCAUCUGAGAAAGUGCAGCUUUCACACUGGCAGGGGAGGGAUUGUAUGGCUUUGAAAGGACAGGUUUAUCUGACUAACAGUAGUAGCUGUGGCAACUGAGUACUUAUGUGUCAAUAGCUCAUACACCUUGCUUCUCUUGUCCUCGAAGCAGUCUGCAAGAUGAAGGACCACUUCCCAAGCCACGCUCAGCCCCCUCCUACCUUUCCUCACAUAAAGACUGACCUUGUAAUUAAGGGUGACCAUAAAACCCAGAUCUGGACAUGAGGCCAUGUAUGGGAGUGUUUCAGGUGAGACCCUGGCUUCCUCAGAACAGCGUAAGAGGUGCAGCUGGCAAUACCUCUGUGUCUCCGUUUCUGGCUUUACCAAGUCUGAGUGUGACAACUAAAGCUCCAACAGCCAUUUUCUACCAGAGAUGACGGGAGCAGGGGACAGAAAGGUGUGACCUCACUGCAAUGCUCAGUCACUGAACCAGCCUUGGACUCAUUGUGUUAAGAUUUCUAAAAACUGCUAGCUCUUUUUUUUGUUCUUUGCAGACAAACAUACUCUGAGAGAACUGUCAGCAAUGAAUUUCUGAUGCUUAAGUCACCCAGCCUGUGAUAUUUCAUGAUAGGAGCCUUAAGAAAUGAAUGCCCAGUUAAAGCCAAAUACAGAGAAAACAACUUAACCUUAGUGGGUUUUUAGUUUCAUUGAUAAAAUGAUUCAAAAAUGAACUUGAAAGGAAGCUUGAGGUCAGUUGUAUCUGGUUUGAGAGAAAAACAACAGGGCAGGCAAGCUGCUCAGGGAGGAAGAUGCAAAGAGAAGGAAAUCCACAGCAUUUGUAACCAGCCACAGGGAAGAUAUUGGGGAUGGAGUCACUGCAAAAAGGUGGAGGAAGGGUAAGGAAGGGGGAGGGAAGAGGGAGAGAGAGGAAGGGAGAAGAUGAGUGAGAGAGAGGGAAUGGAGAAAGACACACACACACACACACACACAGAGAGAGAGAGAGAGAGAGAGAAAGAGAGAGAGGUUGUACUUUCUGAGUAACUUGGAAAAGCCGGCAGACCUUAUAGCUGCACCAUGGAGGCUUUCAGGUGGGGCCUUGAGGGCGGGGCUUCCGGGAAGGACAAGUACAUUAUUUUCAGAAGGGUGUAAUUAUUCCUCCCAUGUCUUUAGCAAUGGUUUUAGGUGAAUCCAUUUGUGGCAGGCGUGGGAUGGGUGGGAGGUAGGGGUGGUGUCAGAGAUGGAUUCUUGGUCAGGUGAUUGACAGUCCAAGCUGAAUUAACCCUUAAGGAGACCCUAGAAUAUAAUGUUCUAAUUUUGGAGCAGAUCAGAAUAUCAUGUCUUCAUCUGGGGCCAGAGUAGAUUUUUAUUCUUUUGAUCAGGAGGAAAUAGAUUUCCUUUGAUGUGUUUCAACAGAGCCUUGAUAUCAUCCUCAACAGCCUCUGAGGCUGUUGUGACAUUUAGCCACUAAGAGUUGAGAUACUGAGAUCCUGCGACUUUGGCUGUCUUCCUGCUCUGAGCAUGGAGGCUCUGGCCACUGGCUUCUCGACACUUCCCUCAUGUCAUAGGCCCCAAACAGCAAUCUGAGCACCUGCCUCAGUCCAAGAAACCCAAAUCAGCUCCAGCCACGAAGCUGGAGGACAAGUUAGCCUCUCCGGCCUGCUGAAAGGAGAAAAAGAACAGCAAGAAGCAAUUGAACACAUUGAUGGAAAUACAAAAUGAAAUAGACAGACUUAAUGAACAUGCCAGUGAAGAAAUUUUGAAAGUAGAACAAAAAUAUAACAAACUCCAUCAGCCAUUUUUUCAGAAGAGGUAAGAAUUGAUCGCCAAAAUCCCAAAUUUUUGGGUAACGACGUUUAUCAACCAUCCACAAGUGUCUGCACUGCUUGGGGAGGAAGACGGAGAGGUUCGUAUUGCUUGACCAGAGUUGAAGUGACAGAAUAGAUUUUUAUUUUGAUGAAAAUUCUUACUUUGAAAAUAAAGUUCUCUCCACAGAAUUUCAUUCGAAUGAGAGUGGUGACCCAUCAUCAAAGUUCACUGAAAUCAAAUGGGAAUCUGGAAAGGAUUUGACAAAACACUCAAGUCAAACGCAGAGUAAGGCCAGCAGGAAGAGGCAGUGCAAAGAGCCAAAAAGCAUCUUUACCUGGGUUUACUGACCAUUCUGAUGCAGGUGCAGGUGAGUUAGGAGAGGUCAUCGAAGAUGAUAUUUGGCCAAACCCCUUGCAGUACUAUUUGGUUCCUGAUAUGGAUGAUGAAGGAGAAACAGAAGAUGAUGAUGGUGAAGAGGAGAAAGGCUUGGAAGAUACUGAUGAAGAAGGGGAUGAAGGUGAAGAAGAUGAAGAUGAUGGAGACGAGGAUGAGUGGCACAGAAGACUGAUGGAUUCCAAACCUGUUUUUAUUUUCUUUUAUUUUAAUUUUCUCCAGUCCCUGGGAGCAAGUUGCAGUCAUUUCUCUCCCCUCCCCAAUCCCUCUUGUGCUCAGUUACCCUAUUUUUGAGGUCUUUUUUCAAUACCAUGGUUCUCAACUUAUUUGGGGGGAAAUACCUUGAGCAAAAUACGAGAAAAGAAUCUCCACUCUUCUGUUCUAAAUUAGUUUUUGUCCUUUCUUGUCUCAAACUAUGGAUUCAACACCGCCAACGUACUCUGUGGGAAAAAAAGAAAAGCCCUCCGGCUCCCUGGGCUCUGCUGGAGGCUGGAGGGGGGGCGGUGCUAGGCCCCUGUGUAGUAGUGCAUAAAAUUCUAGAUUUUUUUCCUUUCUCUGUAUAUUGGGCUCAGAGAUCACACUGUGUCUCUGUAUGAAUACAGACAGUUAGCAUUUACCAACAUGUAUCUGUCUACUUUCUCUUGUUUAAUAAAAAGAAAAAAAGAAGAGAAAAGGGGGUAUAGAAAGUCAGCAAGGGUGGGUUUGAGGUGUCUGAGGCAGGUAAGUGGGCAUUGUGACAACAUGGCUUCUCCUUUGGCAUGUUUAAUUGUGAUGUUUAACAGAUAUCCUUGCAGUUUAAGAUGUCACUUUUAAAAUAAAAUUCUCUCCUAACUAUGAUAUGAGCCCUGCCACUCAAUGGGAGAAUCAGCAGAACCUGUAGGGUUUUAUUUGGAAUUAACAUUCUCUGUUGUAACUUUAUUUUUAAUUUUUAUUUUUAUCAUUGUAAUAAUAAUAACUAUUAUUUUUGGUUUUCACUGGAAAGAAAAAGGGUCUCAUUUUUAAAUGUUGAGGUGUACAAGUUGCUUUGUUAUAAUAAAACCAAUGUGUACACGAAGGACCAGAUGCUUUUCUGUCAGGGCAGAUGCUCAAUAUGACCUUCCAAGUUUGACCUGGAU